rnacentral:rRNA from 1 species
GGAUUAGAUACCCUGGUAGUCCACGCCGUAAACGAUGAGAACUAGGUGUUGGGGGAAUGACCCCUUCAGUGCCGAAGCUAACGCAUUAAGUUCUCCGCCUGGGGAGUACGGUCGCAAGAUUAAAACUCAAAGAAAUUGACGGGGGCCCGCACAAGCGGUGGAGCAUGUGGUUUAAUUCGACGCAACGCGAAGAACCUUACCUGGGCUUGACAUCCAAGGAAUUUGCUAGAGAUAGCGAAGUGCCUUCGGGAGCCUUGAGACAGGUGCUGCAUGGCUGUCGUCAGCUCGUGCCG